UACGAAGGGGGCGAGCGUUGUUCGGAUUUACUGGGCGUAAAGGGCGCGUAGGCGGCCUUGUCAGUCAGGCGUGAAAGCCCCGGGCUCAACCUGGGAACGGCGCUUGGGACGGCGAGGCUGGAGUUCGGGAGAGGAGAGUGGAAUUCCCAGUGUAGAGGUGAAAUUCGUAGAUAUUGGGAAGAACACCGGUGGCGAAGGCGGCUCUCUGGUACGUGACUGACGCUGAGACGCGAAAGCGUGGGGAGCGAACAGG
rnacentral:rRNA from 1 species